AGGUUGUUGUAACAGUCAAGAAAAGAGAUAAUGAGAGCUAAAACUUAAGCCAGUAAUGGAAAAAAGUAGAUUUUUUUUAAAUUUUAUCUCUACAUUUCUCUUCUUUGUCUUCUGAAAGUACCUGGAAGCAAUGAUCCCAGUGGCAGUGAGCAAAGCUAGCAUCUAUUUUUUGGCUUCUCAAUACUAUUCACCACUACCAACAACCUAGGAUUCUUGUUGCAAUGGAUAAUUGCUAAUUUUAUGUAUCCAGGUGUGAAGUAGGAAAACGUGACAAUAUGGAAUGGUUUAACGCAAUAAAGAACAUAAAAACAAUAGAACCAUGUUUUAACAAAUAUAUACAGAAACUCAUUUGGAGAAGCUGCUAGGGACCAAAUGUGAGUCAAUUAGAACAUUAAAAAUAAGUUUGCCAGCAAUCCAUUACAGCAGAUGGAAUUCUUUAAGAAAGAGUGAGUCCCUAGUGAUAUUCAAAAUGAAGAGAGAGGGAAAAAAAGAAAACAUUUUUAUAGAAGAGUGCCAUAUAAUAAAUGCAAACAUAUUGAUACAUUUGAUAGAUUUAGAAGAUUACCUCUUUUUCAGUUUUUAAUGUAACUUUAAAAUAACCAACAAAUGCAUAGAGAGUGGUGGGGAGCAACAUUCAUACAGUCUCAAAGUACGUUGCACAGCUGCUUCCGAAUCGAAAAGGAUGAACGUGUCUUAGCAAGAAAGAGAUUGGCAAUAGUACCAUAAGCAAGGGAUCGAAUUUAGCUUAACCAACACAGAGGUAAUCUGAUUUUAUAUACCUUCUGAUAUGAAUAGUUAGGAUACAAAAUCAUACAUGUAAAAUUCCUACCAAAAAUGUUCAAGUUAAAUUAACCAUGAGGAAAUAACGAGGAAAGCCCUGAUAUAGGAAGCAGCACACACAUGCACUCACACACACUAGCCUGCAAUCUUUUAAAAGUGUAAUGUUAUUAAAAAAAAAACUAUGUCGGGGGAUUUAAUCUAAAUUAAAAGAGAUGGAAAACCAAAUGCUGGCAUUAAUUAGCCAUUAUUAAGGCACUAGUGUAAUUCAAAUGUGUAUUAUAUGUUGAUAGUAUCAUUAGGCUGCAUAAUUUGCUUAGGUUCGAAGAUGAUUUUGUGGUUAUGCAGGAAAAGUUAUUUUUUAGAAGGGGCAUGCUUAGUAUUUAUUAAGAAAGGUUGUGAUGUCUACAACUUAUUUUCAAAUGAGUCAGCCAUAAAAAUGUGUGUGUGCAUGGUGUGUAUGGAGAGAGAGGGAGAGACAGAGCCAGAGAGAAAGAGAGAGAGAAACAGUAUAGAAAAAUGUUAUCAAUCUAGGUGAUUGGAAUAAUUAUAAUAGUCUUUCAACUUUUCCAUUCAUUUUAAGCUUAUAAAGAUGAAAAAGUGUGGGAGUUCCCGUCAUGGCUCAGUGGUUAGUGACUCCGACUAGGAACCAUGAGGUUUCGGGUUCGAUCCCUGGCCUCGCUCAGUGGGUCAGGGAUCCGGCGUUGCUGUGGGCUGUGGUGUAGGUCACAGACUCAGCUUGGAUCCCGUGUUGCUGUGGCUGUGGCGUAGGCUGGCAGCUUCAGCUCUGAUUGGACCUCUAGCCUGGGAACCUCCAUAUACCAUGGGUGUGGCCCUGGAAGAAGACCAAAAAAAAAAAAAAAAAAUGAAAAAGUGUUAGUGGGAUAUAUCAAAAAAAAAUAGAGAAAAAGAAACAGAGACGAAGCGAUAGAGACAGAGACAUCCUUGUGCGUAGGGUCUCGUAAUUCAAGAGAGAUGAGACAUUCUCUUGGAUAAUUAUUGAGUGCUGGGGAGAUCCUAAGACUGAGCCUGGGUAAUCUGACCUAUUGGUGAUAAGAAUACAGAAUUAGAAUGCAGAGAAAACAAAACAAUUAUACUUCCUAUUGACUGGAAUUGGGACUUUGCCCACUCCCACCCCAAGCGGAAUCAGAGGUUUCCACCCUGUGCACUGAGCACCCUGUGCUCUACUAUUUUAACUGUAGUAGUUAACACAUUAUAUUGUAAUUAUAAAUGUCAAUGAAAGCUUACUAUGCAAUACAUAAUAUUUUAAUGGAUGAAUGAAGAUAGUGAGAGAAUGUAGCACAGGGCGGGGUCUCACAUACCCCUCCCCCAGAUUAGCUCCAAAUUUAGGUGCAGAGGGAUGGCCCUGCAGCUCCACAGCCCUGGGUAGUGGACUUCUCAGCUUGCCUUAUUGCUGCAGGACUCCGCUGCUCCUUAACUGGAACUCAUGUCCUCCCAAGAGGCAAUGAAAGAUCAUGUCCUCUGUGUCCUGCUCCUUGAUCUCUCUUCUGCUCCCUCUGCAGAUUGUAAACACCUGUCUUAGAGCAUGUAUCCCUUGCUGUGGAAACCAUCCUUUGCAACACGGAAACCUGACUCACAUUGAAUGCCUUUGUUAUCUGAAAAAGGAAUGGCCCAGAGCUGGUUUCAGGAAUAUUUUUCAAUAAACCUAUGUAUGAAUCAUACGUCCUAAAUAAACACCCUGAAGUUUGUUCGUUUAUGUAUUGAACAACUACCUGCUAAGUUUACAUCACAUCCCAAGCAAAUGAGAGCUGAAGAUACAGCUCCUCACAGAGUGGAUCAAACGGAUCAAAAUACUUCGCUCUGUUAGAAGCAAAGGGAGACCCUGGGGCUGGAGUAAGAUAGCAAGGACCAUUUUGAGGUUGGAAGACAUGCUGCAUCUCUAAAAGGACAAAUCCAGAGAUAGGGAUGAUCUCCCAGGAGACACGUCUACCCCUAUUCCUCUCUCUCUCUUAGGGCCCUUUCUUCCCCAUUUGUCUCCUCAGGUAGCUUGAUAUGUUUAUGCUGUGGAACAUAAAGGGGCUUUCACAAUGUCACACGAGAAAUAGACACAGGAAGUGGGGCUGCUUAACUUGUGAAACCAACCCUGGGGAUGGAGGACAGAGAGGACGGAAAUAGACAUAACCAAGCCUGGGCGUCUGAAGGGUUGGAGGGGCCGGAAGGUGUUCUGUAUGACCCAGAUAAUAGACCUUAUCUCACUGAAAGGCAGAGUACAGAAAAGACUGACAUGCCCAGUAAAAUUUACUACCGAUUGGUAGAGCAGAUGAGCCUGGAGAGGGUGAUGCUUCUAGACCCCUCCUCCAUAACUCAGCUGCUGAACUAUCCCGUGUGCCUCAUCAUUUUCCACCCAAACACACAAAUCCUGCACAUUUUCCAUUGCCCAGGAAAAACUAAGCAGAGAAUACCCUCUGUGGCUUCUGGCCUAGAUGUCCCUGGGGAGCAGCAGUCACCAAGGCACCCGCCGGUGGUAUUUAGUAAUAGGUGAGCUGCAGAGUCUUUCAGGUCUCCUGCAGAAGAAUGUGGAGCAGUAGAGAAGGCUGCAACAACAAGCUGAGUGAGUAACUCGGGGCCCAGAUACAACCCUUUCUACACUCUUUAGAAGGACAAGGGCCUGGUGAGUGAGUCUCAGAUUCCCUCUCUGUCAGCUGCUAUCAUGUGGAGGAGACAGUGGGUUGGAGGAUAAGCAGGUGUCAAAAGCAGGAAGCAAACCAAGGAGGCCUAGACUUCCAUAAAUGGCAGGUCUGUUGUACCCCCAGAUAAGGGAGAGGACAUGAAGGAGGCUACUUCCCAAAGUCCCAAAGCAAAGAUUUCCCCAUUCAGAUAAUUCAUUAUCAGUGAGCCAGACUCAGUGUCCAAGCAGAUUAAUGCCCUUUUGUUUCUCUAAUUACGGCAUCAGUAUAAAGGUAUCUUAAAACCCCAUCCUGGAGAGCAUCCUGUGGGUGAUUUGAUUGUUUGCUU
rnacentral:lncRNA from 1 species